rnacentral:tRNA from 1 species
UGGCUUAGUGGUUAAGAGCACUUGACUGCUCUUCAAGAGGUCCUGGGUUCAAUUCCCAG